UGGCUCUCGCAUCGAUGAAGAACGCAGCGAAAUGCGAUAAGUAAUGUGAAUUGCAGAAUUCAGUGAAUCAUCGAAUCUUUGAACGCAACUUGCGCUCCUUGGUAUUCCAUGGAGCAUGCCUGUUUGAGUGUCACGUAAACCCUCACCCUCACGAUGUCAAAGUCGUGUCCGGUGGAUUUGGACCGUGCCGUAAUUGGCUCGUCCUAAAAUGCAUUAGCUUGUGCUCGUUAGAGUGCUCGGCAUGGUGUGAUAAUUAUCUGCGCCGUCUGCCUUAGGCCUCUUCUGUGUGCGCUGCUUCCAAUAGUCCCUUGCGGACAGCUAUUUUAAAGCUUUGGCCUCAAAUCAGGUAGGAUUACCCGCUGA
rnacentral:misc_RNA from 1 species